rnacentral:rRNA from 1 species
UACAGAGGAGCCAAGCGUUGUCCGGAUUGACUGGGCGUAAAGCGCACGCAGGCGGCACCGCGCGUGGGGUGUGAAAUCUGGCCGCUUGAACGGCCAGGCGCCAUCCCAUACGGCGGAGCUGGAGUGAUGCAGAGGUCGAUGGAAUUGCCGGUGUAGUGGUGAAAUGCGUAGAGAUCGUAAGGAAGACCGAGUGGCGAAGGCGAGUUUCUGGACAGUUACUGACGCUG